GCUGCUGGCCCACAAAAGCUGGCCCUGGCUUCUCCCCCGGCGAUUCAGUAAAGGAUCCUUAAGAACAUUAGGGGGACCAUGCAGGGAGGGCUUAGGUUAAGGGGGCCCUGACUAUGAUCAGACCUUCUAGAUGUUCCCACAGGGAGAGGAUGGGAAUGUCUUCCAGGACAAAAAGGUCUGAGGGGCUUGGGGAGUCUAAUUUUUACCUCCCAGUGUGCUGGCUGCUUGGAGACACAGGGAGGCACCCUCCACCCCUGCACAUCAAUGAAGGGACAUCUGCUCACGUGGUCCAUGAACAAACUCAGCUCAUGAGCAGCCAAAAUUUUCAGCUCGCAAUUACACUGUAAGUCAGCCAAGAAGCUCAUCGUGGAGUGGUUCUAUGACUUUCAUAAAUAUCUAGUUUAAAAAAAAAAAAAAACAAACCAAAAACCAAAAAACAAAGGCAGCCCAGAUCUGGGCUGGGUUAGUCAGAGUUCUAUAAAGAUAGGUCCAUGUAACCUGCAGUGGCAGCUUCUCACCUUCACUUCUGGUUUUUUAAGCCACCAGUCUGCAGAUUUCAAGGAUUCAUUCCCACUGUGGGGUU
rnacentral:lncRNA from 1 species